CACGGGGGGAGCAAGCGUUGUUCGGAAUCAUUGGGCGUAAAGAGCGCGUAGGCGGUCCGGUAAGUCGGUUGUGAAAACUGGGGGCUCAACCCUCAGAGGCCGACCGAUACUGCCGGGCUAGAGUCCGGAAGAGGCGAGUGGAAUUCCUGGUGUAGCGGUGAAAUGCGCAGAUAUCAGGAGGAACACCAAUGGCGAAGGCAGCUCGCUGGGACGGUACUGACGCUGAGGCGCGAAAGCGUGGGGAGCAAACAGG
rnacentral:rRNA from 1 species